CCUACGGGAGGCAGCAGUGGGGGAUAUUGCACAAUGGGGGGAACCCUGAUGCAGCGACGCCGCGUGGGUGAAGGAGCGUUUCGGCGCGUAAAGCCCUAUCGGCAGGGAAGAAGGAGGACGGUACCUGACUAAGAAGCCCCGGCUAACUACGUGCCAGCAGCCGCGGUAAUACGUAGGGGGCAAGCGUUAUCCGGAUUCACUGGGCGUAUAGGGAGCGCAGGCGGCAUGGCAAGUCUGAUGUGAAAACCCGGGGCCCAACCCCGGGAGUGCAUUGGAAACUGCCAGGCUGGAGUGUCGGAGGGGUAAGCGGAAUUCCUAGUGUAGCGGUGAAAUGCGUAGAUAUUAGGAGGAACACCAGUGGCGAAGGCGGCUUACUGGACGACUACUGACGCUGAGGCUCGAAAGCGUGGGGAGCAAACAGGAUUAGAUACCCCAGUAGUC
rnacentral:rRNA from 1 species